rnacentral:rRNA from 1 species
GACGAACGCUGGCGGCGUGCCUAAUACAUGCAAGUCGUGCGGACCUUGUUGAAAGCUUGCUUUUAAAAGGUUAGCGGCGGACGGGUGAGUAACACGUGGGCAACCUGCCUGUAAGACUGGGAUAACGCCGGGAAACCGGGGCUAAUACCAGAUCGUUUUUUCCUCCGCAUGGAGGAAAAAGGAAAGGCGGCUUCGGCUGCCACUUACAGAUGGGCCCGCGGCGCAUUAGCUAGUUGGCGGGGUAAUGGCCCACCAAGGCAACGAUGCGUAGCCGACCUGAGAGGGUGAUCGGCCACAUUGGGACGGAGAAACGGCCCAACCUCCUACGGGAGGGAGCAGGAGGGAAUCUUCCGCAAUGGAGGAAAGUCUGACGGGGCAACGCCGCGGGGGGGAAGAAGGCCCUCGGGUCGUAAAACUCUGUUGCCGGGGAAGAAAAAGUGCCGUUCGAACAGGGCGGCGCCUUGACGGUACCCGGCCAGAAAGCCACGGCUAACUACGUG